UGUCUGUUAAACAGGGUUUGGAAUAUGC
rnacentral:piRNA from 1 species